rnacentral:rRNA from 1 species
UACGUAGGGUGCAAGCGUUAAUCGGAAUUACUGGGCGUAAAGCGUGCGCAGGCGGUUUUGUAAGUCUGUCGUGAAAUCCCCCGGGCUCAACCUGGGAAUUGCGAUGGAGACUGCAAGGCUAGAAUCUGGCAGAGGGGGGGUAGAAUUCCACGUGUAGCAGUGAAAUGCGUAGAGAUGUGGAGGAACGACCGAUGGCGAAGGCAGCCCCCUGGGUCGAA